CCUAACACAUGCAAGUCGAACGUAUCUUGAUUAUAGCAAUAUUAUUAAAGAGGAGUGGCGAACGGGUGAGUAACACGUAGAUAAUCUGCCUUCAGACGGGGACAACUCAGGGAAACUUGUGCUAAUACCCGAUGAGACCACAAGAAGGGAUUUUUGUGGCCAAAGGCGGGCAGCAAUGCUCGUGCUGAAAGAUGAGUCUGCGUCCUAUCAGCUAGUUGGUGGGGUAAAUGCCUACCAAGGCUAAGACGGGUAGCCGGCCUGAGAGGGUGAACGGCCACACUGGGACUGAGACACGGCCCAGACUCCUACGGGAGGCAGCAGUGAGGAAUUUUCCGCAAUGGGCGCAAGCCUGACGGAGCGACGCCGCGUGAGGGAUGAACAGCUUUCGGGUUGUAAACCUCUUUUAUUAAAGGAAAAAGAUCUAUAUGCUAAUAUCAUGUAGAUUUGAUGGUACUUAUUGAAUAAGCCCCGGCUAACUACGUGCCAGCAGCGGC
rnacentral:rRNA from 1 species